GACAAACUGAAAACUGGGUCUCUGUGCCUUGAGACAGAAAGGAAGGUCAAAAGUCCUGCUCGCUGAUUCUCUCUGCUGCACUACAGUGACUGAAUUUCCAGACAUGGAUAGAAAAUCCAAAGAACUCCACCGUAUGGGUUUUACUAUACAAGAAACUGAAUGCCUGAAAGGAGAAACCCGCACUCCUAGCAAAUGUGCCUUCAAAAAAGACGGGGAAGAGAAGUAUUGUCGGGCAGCAGUCAAAUUCAUCUGUGACGGUGAAGCUGAUGUUUGGGUCCGCUGUUCUCCCAUGGCGAGUAACACGAUUGUCAGAAGAAGCAAAAGAGGAAUUAAAGUUCCUGGUUUCGUGAAAAAGUUCCUCAAAGAUGUUGUUAGUGAGACCAUUUCCCAUAGUAUUCCUAAAGCCAUUUCAGCAGUGAAUAAACUUAUUAAAAAAAAGAAAAAAGGUGCUACAACACCACGUGUGAAGUAAGAAGACCUGAGCUCAGACACUAGCUAUGCAAUCCUGGAUAAAUGUCUUAAUCUCUUCUACCUUGGUUUCCUUGAAUGUAAAAUAGGAAUAAUAACAGCACCUACCUCCCAGGGUUUUUGUGAGGAGCAAGAGAUAACAACUGUAAAGUAAUGCCAUAUAGUUGGUGCUUAUUUAAUACUUGUACCCUUAAUUUCCCUCAUGUGUAAAUAAAGACUUCUUUUUAUAAUCCA
rnacentral:lncRNA from 1 species